AUUGUCAUGUCCUUUCAGGUGUCCACUUUACUAGCUAUCUUGAACCACUUGCAAUGUGUCAUUUACAUAAUUUCUAGCAGUUACUCUUUAGAUAAAUUCUGGAAUAUAUUUAUGCACAUUAUUUUUGUGUUUGUAGUUUAAAGUGUUUGUUGGUUACAUUUAUACCAAUAUUGUUAUCUUACUAUGUGUCCAUGUACUUUUGAUGCAGAGUCUUGCUGUCCUAUUCACUGAGUUCUCCAACUCAUCCUUGAAACCACGCCUCCUCUGAGCUUCAUGAGAAACUCACAGUACAGAGGCAGAGCACCACAUUCAGCUGAGAUCCAAGAGUCUUGAGGAGAGAAGUUUAAUGAAGAUCCAUUUAACAUCUACAGAUGCACAGUCUCUCACUAUCUCUACACAGGGCACUUGAGAAUGCCUUAGAUAAUUCUUGUGAAAGAGGAGACAGCCUUGUUGAGAACUGAGCACUGAAUUGAAUUAUGGGUAGAACAGUAUGUUGGAAACUAACAUGACUAUCCUCCAGAAGCCCCCAAAAGCAGCUGAAAGUGUCAGAUGAUGAUAUUUCCAGCCAAGCAAUGGACAGAAGAUAGUGACCCCAGUGGUUGAAUUUUCAAAAGCUGGAAAAAGCUUAUGAAGAAGGCAACCCUAUAGGAAGACCAGCAGUCUCAACUAUCCUGGACACAUGAGAUCUCUCAGACACUGUGCCACCAACCAGGCUGUAUAUACCAGCUGAUAUGAGGUUCCCAAGACAUAUACAGCAAGAAUUCCUGGUCUGCACUAAAAAACAUGUUCCUCCAGCUGAAGUCACUGCUCCUGCUUUAAGAUACAUUGUCCCUGUCACAGUUUUGGAUCAUUCAUCAUUUUCAAAGAAAAGGAUAUACUUCAGGAACCAGUAUCUGACAAAACGAGGAGUCUUGCUGUCCUGUUCACUGAGUUCUCCAACUCAUCCCUGAAACCACGCCUCCUCUCAGCUUCAUGAGAAACUCACAGUACAGAGGCAGAGCACCACAUUCAGCUGAUGGAAACACAUGAAGGAGGGUGCCAAGACAUGA
rnacentral:lncRNA from 1 species